CAAUUUGUAGAUGAUGCUCUGUUUCAUCUUCCAGGGGCUCACCUUUACUCCAGCUUGCCUUUGUCCUUCACUGGCACUUUGCAGCACAGCAAUCUCUCUUUGAACGGUGAUAGCAAGUUCAGGUCUGGUGCAGCUCUGCUCAGCCCAAAACCGAGCGGGAAGGAGAAAUGAGAAGCUGGUGAAAGGCCUCACGGACAAACGUACUCUCCAGCUUCUGCACCCCGUGUUCUCCUUCUGUCGUGCUCCAGACCCUGGAGAGGAGUCAGCCUCAGUGAACCCAGUGACAUGCCCCUGGAAAUGGAGAGCUGCUCACAGAAAUGCCAACAGCCCAGCCGAUAGGGCCUUCCCACUGAUAGGAGCGUAUUCCAGCACGGAGCCGAAGCCACAGGCAGGAGGAUGACAAACAGGAGGCAUACCAGUAGUGCCAGUAAGAGAGAUCCCACCAGCCAAGUGCCACUUCGAGCCUCCCAAGCAACUCAUUCCUCAGAAUGACUCCCUUCAUGCACAUGACAUGUAAGAAGAGCUCGGCAAGUUCCUCGGGACGAAAGCUUUCCUCCCAAGUUGUCACUGAUGAAGAAGAGCCCCAGAGCCAGUGAUGCUCCGGUGGAAUUUGCCCAUUUCUGCGACUAGCAAAAAGGGGACCUGAUGCAAUUUCCGAGCCACACCACUUCUGGAACGUGCCCCACACAGUCUGGGUUCAUCUGAGGCCACUCAUCUUGCAGGACCGUCCACCCCGCUGACCCCCGUGUACCCGAGUGGCAGUCUCUGAGCCAGGUGAGAUAAUUUGCAGUAGAGUUUCAG